ensembl:lncRNA
CGAGGAGGUGAGGGCCUAAUUACCAACGAUGAUGAGAUGGUCUGCAGCGAGGAGGUGAGGGCCUGAUUACCAACGAUGAUGAGAUGGUCUGCAGCGAGGAGGUGAGGGCCUGAUUACCAACGAUGAUGAGACGGUCUGCAGCGAGGAGGUGAGGGCCUAAUUACCAACGAUGAUGAGACGGUCUGCAGGGAGGAGGUGAGGGGUGUGUGCGGCCAGGAAAAGCAUCUCUCACUCAACAUCAACAAAACAAAGGAGAUGAUCGUGGACCUCAGGAAUCAGCAGAGGGAGCCACGCCCCCUAUCCACAUCGACGGGACCACAGUGGAGACGGUAGAACGUUUUAAGUUCCUCGGCGGACACAUCACUGACAAACUGAAAUGGUCCACCCACACAGACAGUGUGGUAAAGAAGGC